rnacentral:rRNA from 1 species
AUUGAACGCUGGCGGCAUGCCUUACACAUGCAAGUCGAACGGCAGCACGGGUGCUUGCCCCUGGUGGCGAGUGGCGCACGGGUGAGUAAUACAUCGGAACAUGUCCUGUAGUGGGGGAUAGCCCGGCGAAAGCCGGAUUAAUACCGCAUACGAUCCACGGAUGAAAGCGGGGGACCUUCGGGCCUCGCGCUAUAGGGUUGGCCGAUGGCUGAUUAGCUAGUUGGUGGGGUAAAGGCCUACCUAGGCGACGCUCAGUAGCUGGUCUGAGAGGGCGACCAGCCACAGUGGAACUGAGACACGGGCCAGAAUACUAAGGGAGGCAGCAGUAGGGAAUUUUGCACAAGGGGCGAAAGCAUGAUGCAGACAUGCCGCGUGAGGGAAGAAGGUCUUCGGAUCGUAAAGCUCUGUAAGUAGGGAAGAAGAAAAGUGAACGAAAACAGGCAGGGGUUGACGGUACCAAAAGAAGAAGCAACGGCGAACUACGUG